UGGGGAAUAUUGCACAAUGGGCGAAAGCCUGAUGCAGCAACGCCGCGUGAGUGAUGAAGGUCUUCGGAUUGUAAAGCUCUGUCUUUUGGGACGAUAAUGACGGUACCAAAGGAGGAAGCCACGGCUAACUACGUGCCAGCAGCCGCGGUAAUACGUAAGUGGCGAGCGUUGUCCGGAUUUACUGGGCGUAAAGGGUGCGUAGGCGGAUGUUUAAGUGAGAUGUGAAAUACCCGGGCUUAACUUGGGUGCUGCAUUUCAAACUGGAUAUCUAGAGUGCAGGAGAGGAGAAUGGAAUUCCUAGUGUAGCGGUGAAAUGCGUAGAGAUUAGGAAGAACACCAGUGGCGAAGGCGAUUCUCUGGACUGUAACUGACGCUGAGGCACGAAAGCGUGGGUAGCAAACAGGAUUAGAUACCCUGGUAGUCCACGCCGUAAACGAUGAGUACUAGGUGUAGGAGGUAUCGACCCCUUCUGUGCCGCAGUAAACAC
rnacentral:rRNA from 1 species